rnacentral:rRNA from 1 species
CCCUUAGAUGUUCUGGGCCGCACGCGCGCUACACUGAUGCAUUCAACGAGUUUCUUCCUGGUCCGAGAGGAAUGGGUAACCUUUUGAAAGUGCAUCGUGAUAGGGAUAGACUAUUGCAAUUAUUGGUCUUCAACGAGGAAUUCCUAGUAGACGUAGUUCAUCAGACUGCAACGAUUACGUCCCUGCCCUUUGUACACACCGCCCGUCGCUCCUACCGAUUGAAUGCUCAGGUGAGCCAUUCGGACUUUCAUCAUGCUGGUUUCCAGUUUUGAUGAAGGAAAGUCUUGCGAACCUUAUCAUUUAGAGGAAGGAGAAGUCGUAACA